UGGCGGCACAGUCUGGUAGCGCACAUCGUUCGGGACGAUGGGGUCGCAGGUUCAAAUCCUGCCACUCCGACCA
rnacentral:tRNA from 4 species